UACGAAGGGGCUAGCGUUGUUCGGAAUCACUGGGCGUAAAGCGCACGUAGGCGGAUGUGCCAGUCAGGGUGAAAUCCCGGAGCUCAACUCCGGAACUGCCUCUGAUACAGCACGUCUUGAGUUCGAGAGAGGUGGGUGGAAUUCCUAGUGUAGAGGUGAAAUUCGUAGAUAUUAGGAAGAACACCGGUGGCGAAGGCGGCCCACUGGCUCGAUACUGACGCUGAGGUGCGAAAGCGUGGGGAGCAAACAGG
rnacentral:rRNA from 1 species